UCCUUGGUGGCCUAGUAGUUAAGGAUAUGGCAUUGUCACUGCUGUGACUCAGGUUCGAUCCCUGACUGGGGAA
rnacentral:tRNA from 1 species